GUUUGAUCCUGGCUCAGGAUGAACGCUAGCGGCAGGCCUAAUACAUGCAAGUCGAGGGGCAGCGAUUCUAACCUAGUUAGAAGUCGGCGACCGGCGCACGGGUGCGUAACGCGUAUGCAACCUACCUUAUACACAGGGAUAGCCCGUGGAAACGCGGAUUAAUACCUGAUGGCAUUAUGAACUGGCAUCGGUUUAUAAUUAAAGAUUUAUUGGUAUAAGAUGGGCAUGCGUCCAAUUAGCUAGAUGGUAGUGUAACGGACUACCAUGGCGAUGAUUGGUAGGGGUUCUGAGAGGAUGAUCCCCCACACUGGUACUGAGACACGGACCAGACUCCUACGGGAGGCAGCAG
rnacentral:rRNA from 1 species